rnacentral:lncRNA from 10 species
GCACUAGAUACUCAUUGGAGCAUGAACCCUGUUGUGAACUGCUCAUCUGAGGGAUCUAGGUUGUGUGCUUCAUAUGAGAAUCUAAUGCCUGAUGAUAUGUCACUGUCUCACUUUGCCCCCAGAUGAGACCAUCUAGUUGCAGAAAAAUAAGCUCAGAGUUUCCACGGAUUCUACAUUAUGGACGGCCCACAAAUACCUUUCCUGGACUAUAUUAAGGAAACAAAAGCAAACAAAUAUGAGAAAAUAAUAAAGAUUUGAUCUUCAACAAAGCUGACACUGGGGAAAGGACACACUCUUCAAUAAAUGGUGCUGGGAAAAUUGGAUAGCCACAUCCAGAAAAAUGAAACUGGACCACUAUCUCACUAUAUACAAGAAUCAACUCAAAGUAGAUUAAAAACUUAAACAGAAGACCUGAAACUAUAAAAAUACUUGAAGAAAACCUAGGGAAAAAUUUCCUGGCCUUUUGUCUAGGCAAAGAAUUUAUGACUAACACCUCAAAAGCCACAAGCAACACAAAUAAAAAUAGACAAAUGGGACUUAAUUAACUUAGAAAGCUUCUGAGCAGCAGAAGAAAUAAUCAGCAGAGUGAAGAGACAACCUCCUGAAUGGAAGAAAAUAUUUGCAAACUGUUCAUCUAAUAGUGGGCUAAUACCUAGAAUUUACCAAAAACCCAAACAACUCAACAGGAAAAAAAAAUUCCAUUGGAAAGUGGCCAAAGGAUAUAAAUAGACAUUUCUCAAAAGAAGACAUACAAAAGGCCAAAAGAUAUAUGAAAAAAUGCUCAACAUCACUAAUCAUUAUAUAAAUGCAAAUCAAAACCACGAUGAAAUAUUAUUUUCCCCUAGUCAUAAUGACUAUUCCUAAAAACAAAAACAAAAACAAAGCAAAACAAAAUAUAACAGAUUGAAAAAGGAACUCUUCUACACUGUUGGUGGGAAUGUAAACCAGUAUAGCAACUGUAGACAACAUUAUGGCGAUUCCUCACAAAAGUAAAAAUAGAAUCACCAUUGGAAACAGCAAUUUUACUACUGGGUAUUUGCUCAAAGGGGAAAAAAAUCAAUAUACCAAGGGGAUACCUGCACUCGCAUGUUUAUUGCAGUACUUUUCACAAUGCAAAGAUAUGAGACCAACCUAAGUGGGGUUUUGGGCUUAUGAAGGUGAUAGUAAAAAGACUCAGGGUUUGUGAAGUUGGUGAGGGAUUUUGCAAAGCUCUUCAAACUGCAUGCAGAACUGUUGACCAGUGAAGAUGGCAAGGUGGACGGCUCAGCAGCCAGGGAUGUGCUGGUGCGCAGGGGCAGUAGCAUGAUGUGCAGGUGUACCCAGCAAUGUUUGGGGUACUCAGGUCCCAAGUGGUGCUUGGAAGAGGUGAUGAAGCUCUGAAAUAAUUCCCGAGCAUGAUCUAUUAUCAAGCCAGUAACAUACAAAAUACAGAAUAUUUCAUGAUGAUAUCCUCCAAUAAAAAUCAUGAAAAAAUAAAACAGAAAACAAAACAAACCAACAAAAAAUGUGGUGUAUAUACACAAUGGAAUAUUAUUCACAGCCAUAAAAAAGAAUGAAAUAAUGUCAUUUGCAGCAACAUGGAUAAAACUGGUGUGAAAUAAACCAGGCACAAAAUGGUAACUAUCCCAUGUUCUCACUUAUAUGCAGGAGCUAAAAAAAUUUCAUCACGUGGAGGUAGAAAGUGGAAAAAUAGAUCACAGAGACUGGGAAGAGUGAGUGGAAAGGGCAGGGGAAAGAAUAAAGAGAAGUGCACUAAAGGAUAAGAUAGGAGGAAUAAAUUGAAUGUUUGAUAGCAGAGUAGGAUAACUAUACUUUAAAAAGUAUUGUACUGGAGUGACGAACACCCUAAAUAUCCUGACUUAAUCACUAUGCAUUACAUACAUGUAACAAAAUUCCACACGUAUCCCAUAAAUUUGUACGAAUAAAAAAAGCUUAAGUUAGCUAAAAACCAAAACAUAAAGCAAACAAACGAAAUAAUAUUUCUAAUUCUUGACUACUUUAAUCUGAUUUGCCUUCAGACAAAUUUUGAAAAUUAUUUUGUGAACUCAAAAAUAUCUCAUGGUUUAUUGAAUUUCAUUUUAUAGGAGGGAAAAUGUAUGUGUUGAACGAUGUUGCAUUUUUCUCCAAUACCAUAAUAAGUAUUUAAAUGUAUUUGUCAACUUUUUUCUUUUUUUAGAAUAGUAUAGCUUUUGUCAUUUAUAAAC